rnacentral:rRNA from 1 species
GAUGAACGCUGGCGGCGUGCCUAAUACAUGCAAGUCGAGCGAACAGACGAGGAGCUUGCUCCUCUGACGUUAGCGGCGGACGGGUGAGUAACACGUGGAUAACCUACUUAUAAGACUGGGAUAACUUCGGGAAACCGGAGCUAAUACCGGAUAAUAUAUUGAACCGCAUGGUUCAAUAGUGAAAGACGGUUUUGCUGUCACUUAUAGAUGGAUCCGCGCCGCAUUAGCUAGUUGGUAAGGUAACGGCUUACCAAGGCAACGAUGCGUAGCCGAACUGAGAGGAUGAUCAGCCACACUGGAACUGAGACACGGUCCAGACUCCUACGGGAGGCAGCAGUAGGGAAUCUUCCGCAAUGGGCGAAAGCUUGACGGAGCAACACCGCGUGAGUGAUGAAGGUCUUCGGAUCGUAAAACUCUUUUAUUGGGAAAGAACAAAUGUAGAAUAAACUAUGCACGUCUUGACGGUACCUAAACAAAAAGCCACGGCUAACUACGUG